UAGUAUACAGUGAAACUGCGAAUGGCUCAUUAAAACAGUUAUAGUUUAUUUGAUAAUGGAACUUUACAUGGAUAACCGUGGUAAUUCUAGAGCUAAUACAUGCUAUAUGCCCGGCUUCUGGCAGGGCUGUAUUUAUUAGAUACUAAACCAGUGUCGCAAGACAUUGUGGUGAAUCACAGUAACUGAUCGAAUCGGCGCGCAAGCGGCGAUAAAUCAUUCAAGUUUCUGCCCUAUCAGCUUUCGAUGGUAGUGUAUUGGACUACCAUGGCAGUCACGGGUAACGGAGAAUUAGGGUUCGGUUCCGGAGAGGGAGCCUGAGAAACGGCUACCACAUCUAAGGAAGGCAGCAGGCGCGUAAAUUACCCAAUCCUGAUUCAGGGAGGUAGUGACAAGAAAUAACAACCUGGGGGCUUCAAGCCUUGCGGGAUUGCAAUGAGAACAAUACAGAUCACUUAGCGAGAAACAAUUGGAGGGCAAGUCUGGUGCCAGCAGCCGCGGUAAUUCCAGCUCCAAUAGCGUAUAUUAAAGUUGUUGCAGUUAAAAAGCUCGUAGUUGAAUGUCUGAUCAGCGUGUAUUUCGGCUCUCGUCGUGUACACGUUGGUCAUCCGCAUAUGAAUCCAGUGAGGCAUUCAUUUGUUUGACUGGGGGAGUGUGCAAUUUACUUUGAAAAAAUUGGAGUGUUUCAGGCAGGCAAUGGCUUGAAUACAUUAGCAUGGAAUAAUGGAAUAGGACUAGAGUCAAUUUUAUUGGUUAUUUGACUUUAGUAAUGACUAAUAGGGACAGUUGGGGGCAUUAGUAUUUAAUUGUCAGAGGUGAAAUUCUUGGAUUUAUUAAAGACUAACUUAUGCGAAAGCAUUUGCCAAGGAUGUUUUCAUUAAUCAAGAACGAAGUUAGGGGAUCAAGACGAUCAGAUACCGUCCUAGUCUUAACUAUAAACUAUACCGACUCGGGAUCCGGGUGGGAUGUUCAGCCUGCUCGGCAC
rnacentral:rRNA from 1 species